GCCUGUGUUGCUCAGUGGUUAGAGCAUCAGGCAAGUGACCAAAGGGUUGCCGGUUCAAUUCCCGGUCAUGGGCA
rfam:Myotis lucifugus cont2.39457, whole genome shotgun sequence.